CAUACUUGACAGCACCAUAUCCUACUGCCUUUGAAGUUUUCUCAAGUUCCUCCUCAGUCCAGUCAACAAUUUUACCUGAAAAACCAUAUCAUAUUUAACCUUAAAGGUUAUUUAAAGAAGCAAACAAAUUCCAUGAUGGUAUCGCUUACCAUUGUCCUUGAGACGCUGGACAAGUUCUGAUUUGCUUCGAGAUUUAGCCUCAUCAAGUAGGUCUCCCAACCGAACAACCUCAGUACUACGAGUUCUGAAGCGCUUGCCAUCUGCCCCAAGAACAAGGCCAAACCCAACAUGACUUGUUUUCGGGAACUUCUUCUCCUUUGGAUCGGGGAGCCAACCAGCCAUCCU